rnacentral:rRNA from 1 species
AGGCCUUGACAUGCAGAGAACUUCCAGAGAUGGAUGGUGCCUUCGGGAACUCUGACACAGGUGCUGCAUGGCUGUCGUCAGCUCGUGUCGUGAGAUGUUGGGUUAAGUCCCGUAACGAGCGCAACCCUUGUCCUUAGUUACCAGCACGUUAUGGUGGGCACUCUAAGGAGAACUGCCGGUGACAAACCGGAGGAAGGUGGGGAUGACGUCAAGUCAUCAUGGCUCUUACGGCCUGGGCUACACACGUGCUACAAUGGUCGGUACAAAGGGUUGCCAAGCCGCGAGGUGGAGCUAAUCCCAUAAAACCGAUCGUAGUCCGGAUCGCAGUCUGCAACUCGACUGCGUGAAGUCGGAAUCGCUAGUAAUCGUGAAUCAGAAUGUCACGGUGAAUACGUUCCCGGGCCUU